rnacentral:lncRNA from 1 species
AGGCUGUCUGGAUCUGGUUAGUCCAGUUUCCAUAAUGAUGUGCAGAAGCUUUCUCCCUGUGAAAUCCCAAUCUCAGCAGCACAUCUUCCACAUAAUGGCAGGGAGGGACCUGUCUGCUCAGCUCUGAGCUUUUGUGGUGCAUAUUUUUGAAGUAUUGGAGGAGAGACGAGUGAGGGAGGGAGGAAGAAACAGAACUUCCCCAAUUCCACAGGAGUGAUUGUGUGUUACUUAUGUUACACCUUGCAAAUUGAGUCUUCACAACAAAAAGUCAAUGCCAUUUCUAAUUCUUUCUAUACUGCAUAAAAUAGCUUUAUAUAUUUCCCCAACAUAUGGUUUAUGCUUUGCAAGUAGUAAAAUUUAUAUAUCUUGGUCUCUUUCCAAAUCAUGAACAAAUAUCAUGCAAUGGAGUUGACAUUUUAAUCCAAAAAGUGUUUAAAGUUCACAAAUCAGUGUGGCUGCUGACUGAACCUUGUGAUGUACAAUGCAACUUUUCCCCAGCACAGGCAAGUCCCAGGUCACUAUUGGACAGAGGAAAGACAGGUAUAUGGUACCUUUCUCCAUUAAUAACCCUUUGUUUUUAGCCAAGUUUUGCCCUGAAAUUAAAGGCAGAUACAAAUGAAUAAAAUGGCCCUCAUAAAAUGUCUUGAUCUUUAAACCUACUUUGUCAUAACCGUUCAGUGCCUAAGCACAUACAGCAAUAUCAGGGCAGCUCUGCCCAAAUUCUACAAAGCCAGCAUUCUCCUGGGUCAGGAGAAGCUUAUGUCUCCCUGUUGCUCCAGUGGGACAAUCUGAAUAUUGCCACCCACAGGAGGUCCUGGGGCCUUCAGCUUCAGCUCCACUCUAUGAUGGUCUUACCUGUAGAGCCUUAAGCCUGCCUGAACCUGCCAUACAGAAGCAAAGUGGGGUUUUUCAAGAGAUACAGGCUAUGGGCCCCUGCUUGAGAGGGAGGAUCCUGGCCUGGAGGCUCUACCCUAGCUCCACCCCUCUCUGGAACUGUUUCUGAUUCAUCUGGGUUCUAGGGUGCAGGAACCUCCACCUGUUGGUAGCAUCUGCUUUUGGAGCCUUGCCUCUGCUGGCCUCAGCCCCACACCAGCUCGUCCUCC